ACCCGUGUGGCUCAGUUGGUAGAGCAUGGUGUUUGCAACACCAUGUAGGUUCGAUUCCCACGGGGG
rnacentral:tRNA from 1 species